rnacentral:lncRNA from 1 species
AGAAAACAGUUCAUUAAUUACAUGCUUUCAUGAAAUGCGUCACAGCACAAACAUUCCACAUAACAGACGGACAUGACCACCAAAACUCCCUCUGCAUAGUGCCUGGCCCAUGAAGGGACUUACCCAGGUCUUUCAUACAUAACAUAGUGCCUGGCCCACGAAGGGACUUACCCAGGUCUUUCAUACAUAACAUGGGCUAUUGGGGUCGCCUUGGUCCAUCCACAUCAACAAUAA